rfam:Fukomys damarensis contig145338, whole genome shotgun sequence.
GUCUAUGGCCAUACCAUCCUGAACGCACCCAAUCUCAUCUUAUCUCGGAAGCUAAGCAGGGUAGGGCCCAGUUAGUACUUGGAUGGGAGAACAUGGACAGAUAUCCUUGCUCAUGGGUA